AUUGGGGUGGCAGAGCAUGGUAAAUUGCAAAAGGUCUAAGCCCUUUCAAUCAGAGGUUCAAAUCCUCUUCCCAGUU
rnacentral:tRNA from 1 species